AACCCAUAGUAUGGACACCUCCUUUGAAAUCCCUUAAAUGGAACCCAAGCUUCAUAGAAGUUCUCUCCCACCUCUUGAUGAAAAUGAAGGAUGACAUUUCAAAGUUU